rnacentral:rRNA from 1 species
GAGCGGCGAACGGGUGAGUAACACGUGAGUAACCUGCCCUGGACUUUGGGAUAACCCUCGGAAACGGGGGCUAAUACCGAAUACGACUUUCGAUCGCAUGGUUGGAAGUGGAAAGUUUUUCGGUCUGGGAUGGGCUCGCGGCCUAUCAGCUUGUUGGUGGGGUGAUGGCCUACCAAGGCGACGACGGGUAGCCGGCCUGAGAGGGCGACCGGCCACACUGGGACUGAGACACGGCCCAGACUCCUACGGGAGGCAGCAGUGGGGAAUAUUGCACAAUGGGCGGAAGCCUGAUGCAGCGACGCCGCGUGAGGGAUGACGGCCUUCGGGUUGUAAACCUCUUUCAGCAGGGACGAAGCGCAAGUGACGGUACCUGCAGAAGAAGCGCCGGCCAACUACGUGCCAGCAGCCGCGGUAAGACGUAGGGCGCGAGCGUUGUCCGGAUUUAUUGGGCGUAAAGAGCUCGUAGGCGGCUUGUCGCCGUCGACCGUGAAAACUUGGGGCUCAACCCCAAGCCUGCGGUCGAUACGGGCAGGCUAGAGUUCGGUAGGGGAGACUGGAAUUCCU